GCAGACCGGUCCCUGUUCUUGAUGACCCGGCCUUCCUAUAUUGCCAUGUCGUGGAAGUGCUUCGGCGGUGGGCGUGUCCCUCCCGCUACUCCCCGAGACCGCGUCCAGGUUUCAUUCAUCAACGUAGCUCCAUCUGCUCCCAUUCCCUCACUUGUGUGGAUUCUGAAGGAAUGCGGAGCCCCCGAUCGUGCCGCCCGCGGUGAGCGGCGGAUGAUGGUGCCGCCGUGCUGCUGCGCUAUGCAGUCCGCCAGGAGGAGGGAGCCAGUGCCGCUGUGGGAGAGAAGGAAGCGUCGGUGACAGCGGCAAGGCCUCGCCGCCGCAGAUCAUGGAUAGGGUUAUGGAGAAAAUCUGAUAUUUACUGAGAUCUUGGAAUAGAGGACCUGUGCUCAUAAUUAAUGAUAUGUUGUUAUGAAGCUUGAUGAGGACUGCGGCAGUCCGAUGGAGCAAAAUACAUUGUGGUCUUUCACAUUUCACUUGGCAAAUCGUCCUAAUGUGGCCUGAAUUUUACUGAGAUCUCGAAGCGGAGCAGCACUUUAAUGAUGUUAUGAAGCUUGAUGUGUUGUCUAUUAGCGAAACAUUCCAACUCUAGUCACCGUAAUCUGACAUGAAGCUUUAUGGAACAGCGGAGCAGAGGAUGUCGCAGUGAUAGAGUAUGAGAUGCUAACGGGUCGACCAUUUAGCAUGCUCAGCCGAGACAUACAGAAUCCAUGAUGCGGUGGAGAAACAUUACAGCAUCCACAUUGAGCACAUGUUCCCGGAUGCCGCAGAGGUGCAGGCCAUCCUCGUUCAACAAAGAUGGGCACCAGGAGUCGUGCAGAGCCAGGAAGGAUGCUGAAAGGUACCUGUUCAUGCUUGGAUCACCAAACAGAGGAAGAAGGAUCAAUCUCUUGUUCCCAGCGAUUGUUAUUCAGGUUGAUUAUGUUUUUGGAGACGUCACAGGCGAUGGAAGCCUCGUAUAUGGGGAAUCGGUUGGCCAACGAGUUGGGGAAGCUCUGCGCUCAUGUUGCGGUAGCCAUUUGCGUAGAAAGAACUCGUCUUCUUCCACAAGAACACAUCUCAACACCUCUGAAAGGUGGGAUGUCUAUUCGCCUACUGCCAUUUGUCGAUGCUCUUCGAUGAUGUUAGACCAUGAUCAUCUGGAUGUCGGAUGAUACAUCGUAUCAUCAAACCCUGUGGCUUGGUUAGCUUCUGCUACUGAGUUCCCCCUUUCUACUUCACUUCUCUCGGUUUCCUUCGAAUGGCUUUUGGAGGUCAUACAUGGAGAAGCAUAUAUUCUACUGUAUAGUGAAUCAAACCGAUGUCUGUUAUCGAAAUUGUGGCGAUCGCCCACCACCAUAUUUUUAAGAGUGAUCUUAAUUUUGGCUUCCUGAA